GAUGAACGCUGGCGGCGUGCCUAAUACAUGCAAGUCGAGCGAACAGAUGAGGAGCUUGCUCCUCUGACGUUAGCGGCGGACGGGUGAGUAACACGUGGAUAACCUACCUAUAAGACUGGGAUAACUUCGGGAAACCGGAGCUAAUACCGGAUAAUAUAUUGAACCGCAUGGUUCAAUAGAGAAAGACGGUUUUGCUGUCACUUAUAGAUGGAUCCGCGCCGCAUUAGCUAGUUGGUAAGGUAACGGCUUACCAAGGCAACGAUGCGUAGCCGACCUGAGAGGGUGAUCGGCCACACUGGAACUGAGACACGGUCCAGACUCCUACGGGAGGCAGCAGUAGGGAAUCUUCCGCAAUGGGCGAAAGCUUGACGGAGCAACGCCGCGUGAGUGAUGAAGGUCUUCGGAUCGUAAAACUCUGUUAUUAGGGAAGAACAAAUGUGUAAGUAACUAUGCACGUCUUGACGGUACCUAAUCAGAAAGCCACGGCUAACUACGCG
rnacentral:rRNA from 1 species